GUGCGGUCAUAAAAAACAAUGUUUUUGAACCUUGGUUUUACCAAGGAGAGCGUUAGAGAUGAAUAAACAAGUGGACGAGUUUGUGAAUAAUUUUAGGGUGUUUUUAC
rnacentral:ncRNA from 1 species